rnacentral:rRNA from 1 species
AGUGAACGCUGGCGGUAGGCCUAACACAUGCAAGUCGAACGGCAGCACAGUAAGAGCUUGCUCUUACGGGUGGCGAGUGGCGGACGGGUGAGGAAUACAUCGGAAUCUGCUUUUUCGUGGGGGAUAACGUAGGGAAACUUACGCUAAUACCGCAUACGACCUACGGGUGAAAGCAGGGGAUCUUCGGACCUUGCGCGAUUGAAUGAGCCGAUGUCGGAUUAGCUAGUUGGCGGGGUAAAGGCCCACCAAGGCGACGAUCCGUAGCUGGUCUGAGAGGAUGAUCAGCCACACUGGAACUGCGACACGGUCCAGACUCCUACGGGAGGCAGCAGUGGGGAAUAUUGGACAAUGGGCGCAAGCCUGAUCCAGCCAUACCGCGUGAGUGAAGAAGGCCUUCGGGUUGUAAAGCCCUUUUGUUGGGAAAGAAAAGCAGCAGGUUAAUACCCCGCUGUUCUGACGGUACCCAAAGAAUAAGCACCGGCUAACUUCGUG